rnacentral:lncRNA from 10 species
AACCCAGAGGGGCUGUUAGACCAUCAAGCACCUCCUCCCUGCACGGGUGGACACCAGUUUACACAGUGCCGGGAUGCCCAGAUGGAAAUUUAUGGUGUGCAGGGAAGAACUUCUCACCCAGGUUCCAGCCAGCCGGGUGAGAGAACAAUAUUUCCCAUCGAGGGGACGUGCAAAAGCUCUUAACAAAUCGAUGGGCUGCAUUUAGUCAAUAAACCACAGUGCUUUCCAGGGAGGCAGGAGCCCUCCUCCCCCAGUUGUCCCUGGGGCCCCUCAGGCUUCGCCGAGGGUGGGGGUACGGCCGGGCGGGUGGACGCCAAGGAAGCUGGGGAGCCUGGGUCUUAUGUCCCCACCCAUAGCUCCUGGCCUCAGGGCAUCCUCCUGCCCUGGGGUGUGGGAAGGACAGCGGCUUCCCCAGCGGCGGACGCAGGGGCAGCAUUGUCGGUGGUGCCAGAUGGAGGUUUGGGGCUCACAUCUUGCCUUCCAGCUGGGGAGCCCAGGUGCAGCCACCUCUGCCCCCCCAGCCCUGCCUUCCUGGCCACGGUAGCAACCUCUCUGGGGUCCCCAGCACAGCCGCUCCCUGCUUGCCUGCACCUCCCUCCCCAGAUCCCCGCUGAGCCUGGCCCUGCCCCUCCAGCGCUGGGCACCUCUCACUCCUUUCCAGGGACCCCCAGGCCAUGGCACAGUGUCGCCUGGGGACACACGUGGUGCGUGUGGCUUUUCAGCUGCUCAACACUCACUUCUGAGGCCCCCGCGGCGUGGCACGGCCUGGGCGUUGGAUGCAGCAGUGAACGGGACCCACGCGGGGACUCAGGGACUGGCCCCCACCACGCCUGGGCAACUGGUGUCCUCGGCAGAUCUUCCCAGCAGACAGGACUCGGUGAAGCCUGCGGGGCCACAGGACCAGCCUACUCACUGCCCAGCCCUCAGGCCGGGGGAUGGAAUCAGGGCCCUCUUUGGACAUCUGGGGCCACGCCUGCCACCCUCAGGGGCCCAGGGCAGACAGGUGGGGUCUGUGUGGGCAGCACCCCUACCCCAGCGGGCAGAGUCCCCAGGACGUCCAGGGAAGCUUCCUUCUCACCGUGCCAGGCCCGGUGUCUGACUGAUGAGAAAACCAAGACACAGCCCUGACUCCCCAGCCCAGGCCCUUUCUCAGGCCCCUUUCCAGGCCUCUGCCGUGGGAGGUGCACCUCGUCUCCCCCACAUCCCGGCUCAGCCCCCCGGGGGCCGCAGCCCCCCUGCCCACCAGGCUGGUGCCAGGGAGUGCUGGCUCCUGGAAACCCGGAGAAAGCAGACAACUCGUCCGCGUUGUCCUGGAGAUGCAGCCGACAUCGGCCUGCUUGUCCUGCUGCCAGGGCCGCUGGGGGCCCCAUCGAUGUCCACCCGGCCAGACACAGCUCCCGUCAUUCAAUAUGGCAAAGUGUGGUGGUGCUGGCUCCGCAGACCCCACUGUGGAGGCGAAAGACCACCGAAGCCCUGCGGGAUUUUCACAUCCAGGCAGUGAAUGGAGAUGACACACUUUGCACUGAACAUGUACUGUGUAAGCCUUUCCCGGCGCUGCGUGGCUUGGAAGGCACUGGGGGGCGGGGGUGGAGGCUGGGGGUCCCUGGACUGAGAGCCCCUCUCAGCCAUGCUGUGCUGGGCAACCUGGGACUGGCCCCUUAGCCCCUCUGGGUCUUGAUUCCUUGUGAAGAGUUUCUGCCCAUCCCUUGAGCCUCAGAACGUCCUGGGGUGAAGCACAGCCCCUACUCUUGCUGCCCUGGUAGAAGACGAGGCCCAGAGAGGGGCAGGGCCCGCCCAAGGCUGCACAAAUCUCUGCCCCCAACACCUACAGCCCCUGCCCUCCUUCUGAGGCUGUGGAAACGGAGUCACAGGGAGGUGGAGUCAGGCAGGAGAUGUAUCCAGGCUUCCUGACUGCCCGCUCCCUCUUCACGUUGCUUCUCCUGCCAUCCGGUGCCCAGCGAGGCUCUGAGAAGCCGGGACACUCUGCCCAGGGACUGCCUCCCUGGCCCGGACCCUGGGGGCUGCGGGGACCUCCGGCGGGUCCCGGGCUGGGCUUCCCCGUCCCACCAUCCAGCUGCCCCAGGAUGAGCAAGGCUGGCCCAGCAUCUCUGAGUGAGUGGGGAAGGGAGGGGAAAGCCAAAACUUUAAGGUAUAUGAACUGUGAAAUUAAAUCGAAAUACUCAAAUAAGGAAUCACAUAACAACAUAAGCAAAGAUGUUUACCAGAGCUUGAAGUUAAAUACAGAUUUUUUCAUAAACCCAAACACAAAACACAAUAAAGUUCUGUGGGAUGUUAAAUAUAAUUUACAGUGGGAAGGAUGCUCCUCGCCGUC